CCAAUAGCGUAUAUUAAAGUUGUUGCAGUUAAAAAGCUCGUAGUUGAAUUUCGGGAUCAAUAUGUCGGUCGUGCCUCCGGUACGUACUGGCAUGGUUGAUUUCUCCCUUCUGACGAACCAUGAUGUCAUUAAUUUGGUGUCAUGGGAGUCAGGACUGUUACUUUGAAAAAAUUAGAGUGUUUAAAGCAGGCUCACGCUUGAAUACAUUAGCAUGGGAUAAUGAAAUAGGACGUUUGAUCCUAUUUUGUUGGUUUCUAGGAUCAACGUAAUGAUUAAGAGGGAUAGUUGGGGGCAUUAGUAUUCAAUUGUCAGAGGUGAAAUUCUUGGAUUUAUUGAAGACUAACUACUGCGAAAGCAUUUGCCAAGGAUGUUUUCAUUAAUCAAGAACGAAAGUUAGGGGAUCGAAGACGAUCAGAUACCGUCGUAGUCUUAACCAUAAACUAUGCCGACUAGGGAUCGGAUGAUGUUAAUUUUUUAAUGACUCAUUCGGCGCCUUACG
rnacentral:rRNA from 1 species